rnacentral:rRNA from 1 species
AGUGAACGCUGGCGGCAGGCUUAACACAUGCAAGUCGAGCGGGCGUAGCAAAACGUCAGCGGCAGACGGGUGGGGAACGCGGGGGAACGUACCUUUUGGUUCGAAACAACACAGGGAAACUUGUUCUAAUACCGGAAAAGCCCUUACGGGCAAAGAUUUAUCGCGGGAAGAUGGGCCCGCGUCUGAUUCGCUAGUUGGUGGGGUAACGGCGCACCAAGGUGACGAUCAGUAGAUGGUAUGAGAGGAUGAUCAGACACAUUGGGACUGAGACACGGCCCAAACUACUACGGGAGGCAGCCGUGGGGAAUAUUGGACAAUGGGGGCAACCCUGAUCCAGCCAUGCCGCGUGAGUGAUGAAGGCCCUAGGGUUGUAAAGCUCUUUUGUGCGGGAAGAUAAUGACGGUACCGAAAGAAUAAGCACCGGCUAACUUCGUG